GAGCGAUCAAGUGCCUUAAGAGCAUUCGGUGGAUGCCUUGGCGCUGAGAGGCGAUGAAGGACGUGGUACGCUGCGAUAAGCCUUGGGGAGCUGCGAACGAGCUUUGAUCCAGGGAUUUCCGAAUGGGGGAACCCACCUUCGACCUUCCGUAUGGCGGCUGCAGACAGAUCCUCGGAUCGGCCUGCAGCUCUCAUACGGUUGGUCAUGUGAAGGUAUCAAAUCCUGAAUCCAUAGGGGUUUGAAGCGAACCCGGGGAACUGAAACAUCUCAGUACCCGGAGGAAAGGACAUCAACGAGACUCCGUCAGUAGUGGCGAGCGAACGCGGAUCAGGCCAGUGCCUGUGUUGAGUUUACCGGAACGGUCUGGAAAGGCCGGCGCGAUGGGUGACAGCCCCGUACGGGACGGACGACACACAGGACUCGAGUAGGGCGGGACACGUGAAAUCCUGUCUGAACAUGGGGGGACCACCCUCCAAGCCUAAGUACUCCUCAGCGACCGAUAGCGAACCAGUACCGUGAGGGAAAGGUGAAAAGCACCCCGACGAGGGGAGUGAAACAGCACCUGAAACCGGAUGCUUACAAACAGUGGGAGCUCAAGGUUCGUCCUGAGUGACCGCGUACCUUUUGUAUAAUGGGUCAGCGACUUAAAGUUACGAGCGAGCUUAAGCCG
rnacentral:rRNA from 1 species